AGGGGGUUAUUUGAGUCUUGCUUGAUGUACUUGAACACAUGAACUCACCUUAACCUAUUCUCCUGUCAUCCAGUCUCCAUAGAAUGACAGACUGCCAGUCCAUCUCCACGGCUCCCCCAGGCUGAGACCAUCUUUUCCUCACCAAGGCACGUGGGGUCCCUGACAGGGAGUGAGUGAAGGAGGUAGGCUAGUGAUGCAGGAGCAGCCUCCAAAAACCUUCCUCUAGCAAGAUAAUCAGCACUGACCAAGGUGCAGCUCCACUGAGGACCGGAAUUCUUAUUGAAAUCCUUAUCAUGAGGAAGAAAGGAAAAGUGUCUGCUAGUCAUGAGAUGUGCUUCAAAGGUAGGAUUCAUAUACAGUGCAUUUGGAAAGUAUUCAGACCCCUUGACUUUUUCCAAAAAAUGUUACAUUACAGCCUUAUUCUCAAAUUGAUUAAAUACAUUAUUUUACAAUACUGAUAAUGACAACGCAAAAAAAGGAUUUUAGAAAACAGAAAUACCUUAUUUACAUAAGCAUUCAUACCCUUUGCUAUGAAACUCGAAAUUGAG